UGGUGCAGUUAUUUGGUUACGAUUCUUCGAAUCAGACAGUUAUACCAACAAAAUUCUUCGGAUCAGACGGUUGCAUCCAGAUAGGAUUGACAACCAUGGCCAGUUAGUGUCUACCUUUUGAACUUAAGCCUGGUCGAUCUACUUCUGAGAAAAGAUCAGAGAGUAUGAUGUGCCGACUAGGAAUUGAGACUAAUAGUUUUUCGACUAAGGCUUGAUUAAAUGGGUUGAUUUAGAAGUCUAGCCGAUCCACUGCUGUUAUGCUGGCC
rnacentral:lncRNA from 1 species